UGUACGUGGGUUCCAUGAUGGGAGGCCCAUUUCGUGCUUCGACUAUGACCGCAUGGAUUAGGAACAAGCUGCCGUAUCGGUGAAGGUGGGGAACCCCAAGAGCUCAUGCAUUCGUCGUCCAGAUUCACAGCCCCGCGGUCGAAGUAUUCUCUACUCGAAACUAGCUCCUUGUGGAAUUCAGCUCUUGUAAUUAGGUGAUUUUUAUUCAUUUACGGCUUUCGGUACAGGAACCCAAUUGUUGUAGCCGUAUGAAUCUCGGAUGUAAUUUUUGCUAUGCAGUGUGAAGUAAGCGGGAUUUUCAACAAGAGAAGAUCGUAGUUGGGAACUGUGCAGCUUGUUGAACUGUUCGUACCCAAUGGCUUGCUCUCAAGUCAUGGCAACGAACCCAUCGAACACUCUUCAACAACCCACCCCCGACACUUGCAUAUCCCUAUCACUUCCUAGUGUCCCAACCCACCUCUACCCGCGGUCUCCAUGCUGCAUGCUGAUGCUGCUCCACACCCACAUCGGAUGCGCCAGUUCUGGAAUUUUCCGCAGAAAGUUAUCUUCAAGCUGGGUACUCCAAGGAUGUUCUUUACGAGCAACAUGGUUUGAUUGUUCUCUCCGUGAAUCCUCCUGAAGAAACUACACGUUUUCAUUGUGAUCAUUUUGUCCCCCACACUUGUCACAAAUAUCAAGGUACACUAGCAGCCCUCACAAUGAGCAAGUUGUGUGCGUGGAGCAUUGUGGUGCUGUAAUUCUCCAUGCCAACAACAUCGCACAGUUGCACGAAAUCUCCCUCAAACAUCAGAAGCAAGGGCAGCGAUUCACGUCGCGACGAACGCCGCGUCUGGAUUUAGCAUUCAGACUUGCUGACUUGUGGGGUGCGGUUAUGGCUGCCCCACGGUAGUCAAUGCUUUCCACGGUUAAGGAUAUUCUCAUAUUAAUAUUUAUAUCCUUUUUUUUAUGUGGUAGUUUUAAUUUUGGAGGAAAAAAAAGUUACAUCUUGUGGUGGUGAUUCAAGGUUCUAUAUUUUGUUUUUAUUUUUGAAGAGAAUUUUACAAAAAAACAUGGCUUCAUUCAUAAAUUGUAAUAGGGCAUGUCCUUUUAUAGUAGACCAUAAAGAAAGAAGAAGCAGAAUUAUUUGAAAACUAAUUGUGGACCUACAUUAAGUAGCUUUUUUAUGUAAAAAGUGUGUACUUAAAUAUUCAGAACGUUGUCAGAGAGUACAAAUUGUCAAGUUGCAAUGCCUAGGAUGCUUUAGAAAUUUUAUUAAAAUCUUCCAUAUUAUACAAAA